CUUUCAAGUAGUAAAGAAACAGGAAGUCUGUAAACAGUGGACAGGACAGAGGUGGAGAAGCAGGGUUGAGUAGACUGUUAUAGGGGGAUGAGUUGGGGGAUAAGUAACAGUUUGAGGGCAGAGGUGGAGAAGCAGGGUUGAGUAGACUGUUAAAGGGGGAUGAUUGGGGGAUAAGUAACAGUUUGAGGACAGAGGUGGAGCAGCAGGGUUGAGUAGACUGUUAAAGGGGGAUGAGUAGGGGAUAAGUAACAGUUUGAGGACAGAGGUGGAGCAGCAGGGUUGAGUAGACUGUUAAAGGCGGGGUUUUUAAUGUGGGGACAGACACAGGUCAGAGAUAUCCAGCUUGAGGAGGGCGGCUGGGGUGCUUCAGGUGCCUCAAGACUAACCAGUUUUCAGGAUGGAAAUGGACAGAGAACGGUCAUCAGUAUGUGCAGUUUUUAAAGGUUCCACACACACACACACACACACACUACACACACACACACACACACACACACACACUAUAUACACACACACACACACACACACUAUAUACACACACACACACAUACGCAGGCUUUGGCAACAACCGUGGACGAGACGGUCAGAAGAGUCACAGGUAAUAAGCAGGUCCAGACUCACGGCCAGUACACACCUGCUCCCUGGCAUUCCACCCAGAAAUAAACUCCUUUCUAAAAGGUGAGUAAGAUAUAUUACUGCAGUAAUGCGUCAUUACUGACGCAUUACUUCGUACCUGGAGCCCUUAGUCUUAAUGAAAGGCUGUUAAAGUUUAUAAAGUUUAUAUUUGGUUUGAUAAAAAUUAUACAGCCCUGUUUUUUUUUUUAACACAUGUAUUAGUGACACAGUGAAAGGCCUUGCAUACCCACACAGAUUGCAGGUACGGUGCAAAAUGAACGAAAGAUCAGCCCGAUGCAGAGCCUUAUACCUUACACCCAUCACAGACAAAUAAAUCAAGCAUUUCAAAACGUGCUCGCUCAUUAUUUUCCUUAAAAAAGUGCUUCCCAAACAUCUGAAAUAAAGCAUCAGCCAUGAGAGCAACUGAACAACCCUGUACUACCUGACCUUCCGAAUCAAGCCAAAUCGCUAUUUUACACUCAAUUAUUAUUAUUAUUA